rnacentral:rRNA from 1 species
AGAGUUUGAUCAUGGCUCAGGAUGAACGCUGGCGGCGUGCCUAACACAUGCAAGUCGAGCGAACCUUUCGGGGUGAGCGGCGGACGGGUGAGUAACGCGUGGGUAACCUGCCCUGUACACACGGAUAACAUACCGAAAGGUAUGCUAAUACGAGAUAACAUGUAAUGAUCGCAUGGUCGAUACAUCAAAGCUCUGGCGGUACAGGAUGGACCCGCGUCUGAUUAGCUAGUUGGUGAGGUAAUGGCUCACCAAGGCGACGAUCAGUAGCCGACCUGAGAGGGUGAUCGGCCACAUUGGAACUGAGACACGGUCCAAACUCCUACGGGAGGCAGCAGUGGGGAAUAUUGCACAAUGGGCGAAAGCCUGAUGCAGCAACGCCGCGUGAGCGAUGAAGGCCUUCGGGUCGUAAAGCUCUGUCCUCAAGGAAGAUAAUGACGGUACUUGAGGAGGAAGCCCCGGCUAACUACGUGCCAGCAGCCGCGGUAAUACGUAGGGGGCUAGCGUUAUCCGGAUUUACUGGGCGUAAAGGGUGCGUAGGCGGUCUUUUAAGUCUGAAGUCAAAUGCAGUGGCUCAACCACUGUCCGCUUUGGAAACUGAGAGGCUAGAGUACGAGAGAGGUAUAUGGAAUUCCAUGUGGAGCGGUGAAAUGCGUAGAUAUAUGGAGGAACACCAGUGGCGAAGGCGAUAUACUGGAUCGAUACUGACGCUCAGUCACGAAAGCGUGGGUAGCAAAUAGGAUUAGAUACCCUAGUAGUCCACGCCGUAAACGCUGAGAACUAAGUGUUGGGGUGAAACCCAGCGCUGAAGCUAACGCAUUAAGUUCUCCGCCUGAGGAGUACGGUCGCAAGACUGAAACUUAAAUGAAUUGACGG